CCCACCGGCCUCACACUGCACUUAGAACCUCCUUAACCGUUCCUCGCGUGUAAGCUUUCAUUCCAAACCCAACCCGUCAUCAGAGAAGAUACCUCAGCCCUAGCUAGGCAUACAGUAGGUGCUAAACAAACAUUUCUUGGUGGGUUAACUCGAUGGUCUUAACUGGGGGCCCACCCCACCCUUGGAGAGAUCUGGCAACGUCUGGAAAUAUUUGUGGUUGUCACGACUAGGGGAGUAGGCAGAGACAAAGGAGGCUGCCAAACACCCUGCACCCCGAGGGACAGCUCCCCACGGCAAAGUCCUGAGUGUGAGAUGCCAGUGGUGCGAGGCGGAGUCCUGGCUGCUGGGGCACCUGGCCUGGCAGCCUCCGGGGGCAUCGCCUGCGCACCUUGGUACCUAACCUGAGCCUCGCCGGCUCUUUUGUGUUUUUUCUGUGCAAGUCUAGGCCCAGCCCUUCCCUAACCUCCGAUUGAGCAAAGCAAGACGAACUCCCCACCUGCUGUCCUUCCCUCUCCCCCCUCUCCUGUCCUUCCUCCUGGGGGUCUCUUCUGCCUGGAGGAUGCUGAGAGCCACUUAGAACCUCCUGAACUGUUCUUCACAUGUAAGCUUGGAGACAAGGAAACUCAGGCACAGAGACACCAAGUGCUUUGCCAAAGGGCACGGAGCUGGUCUGGGUAGUGACAGAAUUAGGAGCCAGGUUCCUGCCUCAGGCCCUUGGAUAAGAAAUGCCAACACAUUCCUUCACAGAUGUUUGCCAGGUGGGGUGGCAUGGGGUGCCAGUUCCUCUCCUCUAGAAUCUUUACUCCAGUUGGAGAAAGAAGCUAUGUCCUCGGAGAGGGGACGAGGGCCACCAAGACCGGGGAGUCGGAAACGUGAAGGCGCUGUUCGAAGGAAGGACCAUUCCGGCGGGAGCAUCGCGGGGGCUCCCUGAGCGGGAGGCACCACAGGCAGACACGGAGGGACAGGAAGGACCUGGGCGUGGAGAGGUGGAGGGAGGCAUCCCGGUCAGGAGAUAUUGGGGGGAAAGGAGCGUAGGACUGGGGAGCCACAGGGUGGAAGAGAGGAAAGGGGGUGGCCUGGAAGAGAACCUCCAACGCCAACUGAAAUGCCGGAACACCACCCAGCAGCGAGCAGGGCCUCUGAUGACCUCUGAGCUGAUGGGGGACGAGGUCACAGCAGGCUCUGGGAUGCCGGGGCCUGGUGGAGAUCUUCCUGCGAAGUGGCCCUGAAGAGACGCCCUGUUUAUCCUGAGGUUUCGUGCACUCCCCACCCAUGUACCAGCCUCGCCCGCCCUCAGGUUCCAUGAGGGGGACCAUCGCCCCCUAGCGGUCAGGCCAGGAACCUCCCAACCCCUGGGCUGGAGUUCUAAGCCUUAUUCUUUUCCCUCUCUUCACACCCCAAGUCCCCAGGGCCUCCAGCGCCCAUCUGGGGUCUGCCCUCCUGUACCAGGGGUUAGGGAGUGGCUCCCAGGAGCCAGGAGCUGCUCUGGCUCUGGGGAGACGACACUGAGACACCGCCCGCACCCAGAGGCAGCCCCUGCGUGAAUGAAGCCACGAGGCUGAGCCAGCAAGCAGGGCCAGAGAGCCUCCGAUGGCCCAGUGGGCUCAAAGCGGGUGGGCAGAGGGAAGGGCUGGGGCGAGACCCUAGGGGCCUCGUGGGGGUGACAUGUGCGCCCACAGAUUGCAAGUUGCUGCAUCAGGGCACUGUGUGGAGGAGCUGGGACUUCGCCCCAUAGGUCCAGCCCUGUAGGGCCUCGGCUGGGGUGGGCGUCUUUCCGAAUCUCCUCCCGUCCCCAGCACCAGUGAACCAGGCUGCGGUGGUGGGUGGUGGGUGGGACUUACAACCAGGUUUAAAGCGGCAGCGAUGUGGUCAGGUGACCAUGUUGGAGGAGCACUCAGGUUACUGAAUGGACAGAAGGAGGCGGGAAGGCUGUUAGGGGCCGUUGCAAAACCUACUCAGGGGAGAUGGCAGUGGGGUGGACGGGAAGACGGGAACAAAUGUCAGCAUAUUUCGCUGGUUGGAAGUAGGGUGCAGCCAUGGAUGGUGAGGGGCCACAGUCGUCAAGGGGGCUCCAGGCGCUGUGGCCCCCGUGGUGGCGGCACAGGCUGGCCAGGGGAGGGAGGGCUGCGGGGAGACUGUGGCCGAUGCGUUCGGUUUGGGAAGGCCGAGUCCGCAGAGCGGCCCGCAGACAGCUGGACGUACAAGUCGGACCGGGUCACGCUGGGGCCCCAGACGACGGUCCCUCCCGAGGAGGCCUGUGCUGUCUUCAGGCCUCCCAGUGACACCCCGCAGUGCAAGGACCCUCCGCGGCCGCCUGAGGCCAUUCCUUUCUGCCUGACGGCCUUUCAGCGUGAACAGCGCCCUGCUUCCCAGCGCUCAGUUCCUCGGUCGAUGACAAGGGAGCAGGAUCCACGACCAAGAAAACAAGUCACCCAACCUUUCUGCUAACUGGGAGCUGGUGCCUCUUCUGUCUGUCAAGCUCCCUUAGAAGCCAGACUCCCACUGAUAUGUCCCCUCCCCUAACCUCCCCUUCCCUAAAAAUCUCCCUAAAGGAGGCCAGAGAGAGAUGAAGCCUGCUUCUCUGUCGGGGUGGGAGAUGGGCAGAGAACAAAGCCUUCCCUGUGGAGAAUUCAAAGGAAUCCCCCGCCCCCCACUCCAUCUUCACAAUGGCCUUGUUCAACUGAAGCCAGUGUGUGGAUGUCUAAGAAGCACCUACUGUGUGCCCAGCAGUGGCCAGAUGACCGUGAAGAGAGGCAGCCAAGAGGGCUAUCACCUGCCCUUGGGGGGCUUCGGUGCAGUUGGAACAGAGAUGCAGGGGGAGGGGGAGGAUGGAGGGCUCAGAUUCGGUGACGGGAGUCGAAGCCAGCUCUGCAGCCUCCCCAGCCGAGCGCUGCUAACGUGAGGCGAGAGCCCGCUCGUGGGGUGGUUGUGAGAUGUCCAUCUCCUGGCGCACAGGACGCUGGGAGACAGCGCUGACGUCAUGCCUACUCGGUCGGGCCUUGUUCUGGUAGAUCAUUUAAUUCUCCGAGGCCUUGCAGAGUGCUGCAGGAACCUGGCCAAGCUCACAGGCCCGUAUGAGGCAGAGUCAGGCUACGGGCUCCAGCAG